rnacentral:RNase_P_RNA from 1 species
GAAGCCAACCAGAUGAUCGCGGAGGUAAGGACCCAAAGGUCGCCUCUGAGGAAAGUCCGAGCUCCAUAGGGCAAGGUGCUGGGUAACACCCAGUGGGGGAGACCCCAAGGAAAGUGCAACAGAGAGAUACCGCCGAUAACGGAGGUCAGUUGUCAGAGGCCAGAGGUUAGAAUAAGUUUGUUCUAAUCCGACUUCCGGCUUCUGACGACUGACCUCCGAGUAGGUAAGGGUGGAAAGGCGAGGUAAGAGCUCACCGGCAGUCAGGCGACUGGCUGGCCAUGUAAACCCC